AAAGCAAACGACCCACUCUAACCCCACCGUUCCCACUUAUCUCCCUCGAUCCCGACCACCCCACGCGCGCCCCGCCGCCUCCUAUCUCCGGCGACGCGCCGUGCCCCUGCCUCCCACCUCCGGCGCCGCGCCGCGCCCCCCGCCUCCAACCUCCGGCGCCGCGCCGCGCCCCCCGCGUUCCACAUCCGGCGACCCGCCGCACCCCCCGCCCGGCUCCCUCCCCGGCGACGCGCCGCCGCCCGGCCUCCUCCCCAGUGCGCCACCGCCCGGCUCCCUCCCGGUGACGCGCCUCUAGACUCCCUCUUUCCCCGCCAAUGUACGCUGCGUGACCCGAGCGCCCGGCUGCCGCAUACGAGGUUGCGCGCCACCGCCGGCCCAACCGUCUCCGUCUGGAUCCCCCGCCUCCCACCGUGGCUCCUCGCCGCCACCAUGGGAUCCCAGCCGGCAGCCUCCCCUGAGCGCCCCGUGCCCGGCUGCCUCGCUUCCAUCACCGGUCAUCGCCCCUCCACCAUGCCUCCUCCCACAACCCCGAUCCAGUUCCAGCGACCUCCACCAGGAUGCACGUCGGUCUCGCCGUGGUCACAUCGGCAGUCCAACUGGUCAAUCCGUGGCCGGUCGCUCAAAGUGCUGCGUUUAGGCCACCCCGUGCUCCACCCCUGGGCCUAGCUCAGCUUUCUUCCUCCCAUGCUAUCUCUCAUCUGCCUACUUGUCCUGCUCUGUUCCAUCUCCUGAACUGUUGAUCAUGCAUCAACUCUCUCGCUAUGUGGUGUUCUUGCUCCCUCUCUCGUAGCUACAACAUGGUCACAGACUAGUUGAUGGAUCCAAAAAAUGAUUAUGGAUAAUUGUUGUUCUGAUCUCUAGUUUCUAUGAUCUGAUGGGUAAGAUUCUCUCUCUCAUGCUCUCUCUCUCUCUCUCUCUCCUCAUCCCUUGUAGUUUGUGUGAACUGAUAGUUUAGACUCGAUGAAAUCCGAUGUUUGUAGUUUGUGUGUACUGAUAGUUGAAACUAUGAAUUCCAUGCUUUGUAGUUUGUAUGAACUGAUAGUUAAGACUCGAUGAACUCCAUGCUUUGUAGUUUGUGUGAACUAAUAUUUGAGACCUCAAAGAGUUGUCCAUCUCGACUCGGUGAACUCAUAGCUGAUAGUUUUGUGAAGUGAAAAUUCUUCUUCAAGUUCUUGUGGUAUUUGAUACUUUGUGAGCUGAUAGCUGAUACUUUGAGAUGGAUGUAUUAUUAGGCUGUGAAAAUUAUGUCAGAUAUGUGCAGUUUAAUGGAUGAGUGUUAUCUAGAUCCUUUUAAUCUGAAGGUAGUUGCACUACUAAAGAAAGUAAAAUAAUUAGUAUUUUCUAUAGACAAGAAAUGGGCAUUUGGCUCAGUAAUCGUCCAUUACUAGAGGUAUUGUCACUUGACCAUUGUCCAGAACUAGUUUCAAUUCGUGGACUACCGGCACUUGCAAAAUCAAAGAGGCUGACCAUAUCAAAGUGCCCAAAGUUGAAGCAAAGGAGAUGAGAUGCUACAAAAAAGCGGCCAAAUCCCGGUGCACCUGGUAGUUCAAACUUACACCAGAUUGCUGGUGACCAACUGCCCCGCCUCUACAAGCUCCUCGGGGAUGACAUGGUAGUAGCUGGGAUCCCCUACAGUGGCCAAAUCUCGGUGCACCCAGCCGCCGGUCGUGAUCCCCUCUACUCAGGCUCCACUUCGAGGCACCGUCAGUCCACAGGAGCAGGGGCGGUGUGCUCAUCAACAAAAAAGAACAGAAGGUAUUGUGCUUGGAAACUUAAAAUUCUGUACACAUUUGGGAAACAGAAGUUGUAGCUUCUUUCAUCAAAGUUCAAAACGAAUAAUAUAUUCAGUUCAACUUGUUCUAGCAAACCAUGUGCGAGACACCAUAGAAUGAAAAUGUUGUUGCGUUGCCAGGUCUCCAAUUUGUUCAACUACAAAUAAAUUACAUCCGUUCGACUACAUAUAUUACACUAGUUCAACUGAGUGCGUCACACCAAUUGACCUAAGUUUUACAUAUGUAUCACUUAAGAAAAAACUGUAGAUUUUGAUGAUGCAAGCUUAGUUCUUUUUUCUAUUUCCUGUAAGUUCAAGUGAUCAAUUGCUAUAAGGUGGCGGGUUGUUUACUCAAGCAGUUAGUGAAUUAUGUUCAUGGCCAGCGAGAUGCUCAUCAUUUACCACAUCCAUCUCUACUGAAUUAUGUUCAUCUCUUUCAGUUCAUCUUUGAAAUUUUGGUCCAUUUUCUUUUUGCGGGAUGCAUAAAAAAUCAAAGGUAGCAGCUCAAAAAGAUGAAUAUUGGAAGCCCAUUGCCGGGUUGUGGAUGGGUAUGACUUGAAUCAGUAGCAGGCCUGUAACUGAAUCAUUCCGCACCACUUUUGUGUCUGUGUGGCUUGACGUGCAGCCCGCCGGCUCAGUCGUGUACGUCCAGACAAGACACUGGUGCAAUUUAAUGCAUGAAUUGCAGUAUGUGUUCGAGAGUGGAUGAACCCAUACCUGAAGGCUCUAGGCUCCGACUACAGCAACAGUGUCAAAUUCGCCAUGGCCGGCUCAACGGUGUCCCGCGGCAUCUCCCAAUUCCCUGAACAUCCAGGUCGAUCCGUUCAUCUACUACAAGCACAGAUCCCUAGAGCUCUAAAAUUCCGUAUCAGGUAUUUUUUUCAUCGGUUCUAAAAUUCCCAGAGCAUCAGUCCAACGACGUAUCGGGGUAUACUGUGUUGCUCCUGCGAUUUUUUGUAUGCUUGUAUGUACAAAAAAAUGGUACAGUUACUGCUUUGAUGUGUCGUGGUGCGAAUGUUGUUGAUGUUCAAAGUUUGUGCAGAGAAAGACUUCAAAAACUCGAGUCGCUGAUGGAAUGAAUUACUAGAAGUUCAAAUUUUCUAA